rnacentral:rRNA from 1 species
UACGUAGGGGGCUAGCGUUGUCCGGAUUUAUUGGGCGUAAAGAGCGUGUAGGCGGCCAUGUAGGUCCGGUGUGAAAACUCGAGGCUUAACCUCGAGAUGUCAUCGGAAACCAUUUGGCUAGAGUCCGGAAGAGGAGAGUGGAAUUCCUGGUGUAGCGGUGAAAUGCGCAGAUAUCAGGAAGAACACCAAUGGCGAAAGCAGCUCUCUGGGACGGUACUGACGCUGAGGCACGAAAGCUAGGGGAGCAAACAGG